GAUGAACGCUGGCGGCGUGCCUAAUACAUGCAAGUCGAGCGAACAGACUAGGAGCUUGCUCUUCUGACGUUAGCGGCGGACGGGUGAGUCACAUGUGGAUAACCUACCUAUAAGACUGGGAUCACUUCGGGUAACCGGUGCUAAUACCGGAUAAUAUACUGAACCGCAUGGUUCAUUAGUGAACGACGGUUUUGCUGUCUCUUAUAGAUGCAUCCGCGCCGCAUUAGCUAGUUGGUCAGGUAACGGCUUACCAAGGCGACGAUGCGUAGCCGAACUGAGAAGAUGAUCGGCCACAGGGGAGCGGGGACACGGACCAGGCCCCUACGGGAGGCAGCAGAAGGACACCUUCGGCAGGGAGCAGAAGCCUAUCGGAGCAACGGCGCGUAAGUGAUAAAGGUCAUCGGAGCGUGAAACACGAUUAUUAGGGAGGAACAAAUUUGUAAGGAACUGUAUAAGACUUGACGGUACCUAGUCAAAAAGCCACGGCUAACUACGUG
rnacentral:rRNA from 1 species